GGGGACGACCGGUUUUGACAGCAAGGUCAGACGGACGGUAAGCAUGCCGAGUAAUGAAAACGCACUCGUAAAUCCCAUUUUCAACAAUUAAACGGCGAAAAUAACUACGCUUUAGCUGCUUAAUCUGAAUUAUAGUAGGAUUCUCAAGCCAACGCUCCUGUCUUCGGUUGCUUGUUUGGACGCGGGUUCGAUUCCCGCCGUCUCCACAA
rnacentral:tmRNA from 1 species